GACGAACGCUGGCGGCGUGCUUAACACAUGCGAGUCGAACGGAAAGGCCUCUUUCGGGGGGUACUCGAGUGGCGAACGGGUGAGUAACACGUGAGUAACCUGCCCUUGACUCUGGGAUAACUCCAGGAAACUGGGGCUAAUACCGGAUAGGAGCUCCUGCUGCACGGUGGGGGUUGGAAAGUUUCGGCGGGUGGGGAUGGACUCGCGGCUUAUCAGCUUGUUGGGGGGGGGGUGGCUUACCCAGGGUUUGGCGGGUGGCCGGCCUUGGGGGGUGACCGGCCCCCUUGGGGCUUGGGUUCGGCCCAGGCUUCGUCCGGGGGCAACCGUGGGGAAUUAUGCGCCAUGGGUGGGAGCCUGAUGCAGCAACGCCGUGUGCGGGGUGGCGGCCUUUGGGUUGUAAACCGGUUUCGCUCAUGACGAAGCUUUGUGUGACGGUAGUGGGUAAAGAAGCACCGGCUAACUACGUG
rnacentral:rRNA from 1 species